GUUGACUUUGCUUUUCAUCCUUUCAGGGUUGAUAAAAUGAAGUCCCAGUCAAGUUUUGGGGUUGAUAUAAUUGACUAGCCCCAUCCCCCAAACUUUCAGGCCUGGGCCUAUUUAGAGAUGAAUAUUGUUAUUAACUAAAUCGGUUUUUUCUAUUUUUUUUUCUAUGAAUUAUCUUCAAUGUUUGUUUUGAAAUUCUAAAAAAAAAAACCUUGCUGAAUAUCAUCAUAAAAACGUUAUUUUGCUCACAAUCCUCUUCAAAGAACUGCUGGCACUAAAUUAGAAUAUUUAGCUAUUUUAUUUCUUUCAAUAUUCUACAUCUGAAACUUUUUCUAUGAAGAACUAAGAUUGUAAAGCUUAGUGAAUUUAACAAAUUUUCUUCUUCGAAUAUUGUUUUUUUUGUUUUUUUUUGUUUUGUUUUCCCUCUGAAAAAUAUUAAGACACUGUUUGGGUUUUUUUAUUUUAUUUAUACUGUUGAAGUUGUAGUUAUAUUUUAAGAAAUAUCACUGAUUAGUGUUGUUGUUGUGCCCUGCUUAUUUUGGAAUUUAAUAUGACUGUUAUGUUAAAGUUUAAAACAAACCAUUUUCAUGGAUUUAUAACAGAUGGGGGUUGUAGUUCUGAAGGAACGGUAAUGUUUUUUUAUGUUUUGCUUCAGAACUGUAUCCCACAUUGGUUAAAUUGUUUGAGCUCCUGCAAAUGGAUACUAACUAGUCAUCCGAAGGAGAGUUAUUGGUUCAGGAAGAAUAGCUGAUUGCAUUCAUAUUUUAGCCUGCAUCAGGCUUGUAGAGCAAUAUAUUCUUGUGGUUAAACCAGUUUCUUAAACUCCUGAAGUGGUAGAGAAAAUGUUAUAUUUCUACUCUCUUCACCCGCCUCUCUUUGUUUAAAAGUAUUUUGGAUUUCUCACUCAUCUGUUGUUAUUAUGAUUCAGUAACAGCAGGCAGUUGUGCUAAGAAUUGUGUUUAAACAAGCUUAAAAUACCUAAAUUAUUCUCUCUGUUCAGAACAAUAAGCUAAUAUUUGUAUAUAUUACAUAAUGUUCUCUUUUGAAUUCUUUUCCAUAUCUGAAAUUUGAUUCUUCAUCUCUUAUUUAGUUUUUCAUUGCUUCUUCAAAAAAUAAUCUAUUUUUUAAAAAUGUCUGGGAAGAAGUUGGUGAAAUUUUAUAUGUUAUUAUUGCUCUUAAAUACAAAAAAAAAAAAAUUAAAAUAUUGUUUAAAAAAUUAAUAAAAUAUUUAAAAAAAAAAGAUGAAAAUAAAUAUUAAAAUCAAAUCACUACGUUUGGAUUUAACAAGAAAUGUUGUUGGGCAAAGUUCCAGUUUACUGGCUAUGACAACUAUACUAACUGCUAUUACCUACAUCACCACCACCACCACCACCACCAUCAUCAUCACCACUGCUGCUGUUCUUCUUGGGUGAAUCAGGAACUGUGUUUUGAUUCUUUGAGACAUGCUCAUACAACUGCUGUGCUAUAGUGUAUUAUAGCUGGAGCUGUGAAGGCUUCAAUGCUCUAAACACAUCUAACAGUUGACAACAAAUGUAUAUUUUUUUUUGGUGAACAUUGCUAGUAAAAACUCUUGGCAAACUGAAUUUAAAAAUAAAUAUUAUAAUCAUUU
rnacentral:lncRNA from 1 species